CUACGGGCUGCAUCAGUGGGGAAUAUUGCACAAUGGGCGAAAGCCUGAUGCAGCAACGCCGCGUGAGGGACGACGGCCUUCGGGUUGUAAACCUCUUUUAGCAGGGAAGAAGCGAAAGUGACGGUACCUGCAGAAAAAGCACCGGCUAACUACGUGCCAGCAGCCGCGGUAAUACGUAGGGUGCAAGCGUUGUCCGGAAUUAUUGGGCGUAAAGAGCUCGUAGGCGGUUUGUCGCGUCUGCUGUGAAAAUCCGAGGCUCAACCUCGGACCUGCAGUGGGUACGGGCAAACUAGAGUGCGGUAGGGGAGAUUGGAAUUCCUGGUGUAGCAGUGGAAUGCGCAGAUAUCAGGAGGAACACCAAUGGCGAAGGCAGAUCUCUGGGCCGUAACUGACGCUGAGGAGCGAAAGCGUGGGGAGCGAACAGGAUUAGAUACCCCAGUAGUC
rnacentral:rRNA from 1 species